CUCCUUUCGUAGUUCAUGAGCAUGAUGAUUGUGUUCACACACAUGUGUGAAACGUAGCACCACAAACCUUGUUACAACAUUGGCACAUUACCCGUCUGGCA
rfam:Callithrix jacchus chromosome 9, whole genome shotgun sequence